GAUCCCUGGGCAGAUGGAAACUGAGGCUAAGCCAGAGCUCGUAACACCUGUGACCUGCUGCCAAACUCCACCAUGGCAGGAAGAUCUCAAUACAGCUGCCUGGGACUGUGGGGCUGCUCUUUUUGGAAGGCCACGAAUCGCUUACCUAAGCCUCCAGAAGUACCGAUGCGGAUAAUGGUAACGUCCCGGCAUUUUGCAUGGUGCAGCAGUUUGAUCAGCUCAUGAAGCAUGAUGGAAAUGGAAGGAAUGCCCAUCCCAUGCUGUUGGAAGGAGAGAAAAGAGAAAUGUCAGUGCUUGUGAGGCUGCAGCAGGGGACAGGUUCUCCUCAUCAGUAGGGAAGGUGUUCAUCCCUGGGGACCCUGUGCAGGCGCACAAAUGGUGCCUCUCUUUCAAGACAGGUCUCCACAAACAUGUCCUAACAGCUGAGUGCUCCAAGACCUUCCCCUUGCACUGCUGUCCUAAUGCCAUGUGCUGGCUCAGACUCUGUCAUGUCUUGCUUGUGCUCUGGGAGUGAUGAAUUUCAGCAAGGACAACCAGAGCCUCCACUUCUCCAAGUGCCUUCCAGCCUGUCCUUGCCCCAAGCCAGAGCAUCUCCACCACAUUGCUGGGCACCAAGGAUGACAGAAGGGUUCAUGUCCCUCAGUAAGGACAGGUUUCAG